rnacentral:rRNA from 1 species
AAUGAACGUUGGCGGCGUGGAUUAGGCAUGCAAGUCGUGCGAGAACCGUAGCAAUACGGGGACAGCGGCGUAAGGGAGAGUAACACGUGGAUACCUACCCUCGGGUCCGGGAUAGCUGCGGGAAACUGCAGGUAAUACCGGAUAACAUCUCCGGAUCAAAGGUGUGAUUCCGCCUGAGGAUGGGUCCGCGUCCUAUUAGCUAGUUGGUGAGGUAACGGCUCACCAAGGCGAAGAUGGGUAUGGGGUGUGAGAGCAUGCCCCCACUCACUGGGACUGAGACACUGCCCAGACACCUACGGGAGGCAG